rnacentral:tRNA from 1 species
AAGAAACUUUAUCUUAAUUAAAGUACUUGAGUUGCAUUCAAGUGAUGUAGGUUAAAUAUCCUACAAGCUUC